rnacentral:rRNA from 1 species
UACAGAGGGGGCAAGCGUUGUUCGGAAUUACUGGGCGUAAAAGGCGCGUAGGCGGCCUUCUAAGUCGAACGUGAAAUCCCCGGGCUCAACCCGGGAACUGCGUCCGAUACUGGAAGGCUUGAAUCCGGGAGAGGGAUGCGGAAUUCCAGGUGUAGCGGUGAAAUGCGUAGAUAUCUGGAGGAACACCGGUGGCGAAGGCGGCAUCCUGGACCGGUACUGACGCUGAGGCACGAAAGCGUGGGGAGCAAACAGG